rnacentral:misc_RNA from 1 species
GAAAUGCGAUAAGUAAUGUGAAUUGCAGAAUUCAGUGAAUCAUCGAAUCUUUGAACGCACAUUGCGCCCGCCAGCACUCUGGCGGGCAUGCCUGUUCGAGCGUCAUUUCAACCCUCAGAACCCCUUGCGGGAUCUGGCGUUGGGGAUUGGCAUCCACCCAGCCCCGAAAUCUAGUGGCGGUCCCUCCGCGACCUCCCCUGUGCAGUAGCGAUACCUCGCAGCGGGACAGCGGUCUGACCACGCCGUAAAACCCCCAACUUCUCAAGGUUGACCUCGAAUCAGGUAGGAAUACCCGCUGAACUUAAGC